UAGAUGAAUUUGGUGCUUGCACCAAAUGAAACUAGAUACAAGCGAGCGGCGGACGGGUGAGUAACACGUGGGUAACCUGCCCAAGAGACUGGGAUAACACCUGGAAACAGAUGCUAAUACCGGAUAACAACACUAGACGCAUGUCUAGAGUUUAAAAGAUGGUUCUGCUAUCACUCUUGGAUGGACCUGCGGUGCAUUAGCUAGUUGGUAAGGUAACGGCUUACCAAGGCAAUGAUGCAUAGCCGAGUUGAGAGACUGAUCGGCCACAUUGGGACUGAGACACGGCCCAAACUCCUACGGGAGGCAGCAGUAGGGAAUCUUCCACAAUGGACGCAAGUCUGAUGGAGCAACGCCGCGUGAGUGAAGAAGGGUUUCGGCUCGUAAAGCUCUGUUGGUAGUGAAGAAAGAUAGAGGUAGUAACUGGCCUUUAUUUGACGGUAAUUACUUAGAAAGUCACGGCUAACUACGUGCCAGCAGCCGCGGUAAUACGUAGGUGGCAAGCGUUGUCCGGAUUUAUUGGGCGUAAAGCGAGUGCAGGCGGUUCAAUAAGUCUGAUGUGAAAGCCUUCGGCUCAACCGGAGAAUUGCAUCAGAAACUGUUGAACUUGAGUGCAGAAGAGGAGAGUGGAACUCCAUGUGUAGCGGUGGAAUGCGUAGAUAUAUGGAAGAACACCAGUGGCGAAGGCGGCUCUCUGGUCUGCAACUGACGCUGAGGCUCGAAAGCAUGAGUAGCGAACAGG
rnacentral:rRNA from 1 species